UAUUUAGAGAGUUUGAUUCUAGCUCCGAGUGAACGCUUGUGUAUGCUUAACACAUGCGAGUCGAACGUCAUCCAGUUAUUGGUUGUACGUGGCGGACUGUGAGUAACACGUGAGAAAUUUACCUAGAAGAUUUGUAAGGAUGUGUAUUUUAAAUACGAAACCUUAUCUUAAGAUUGUAUCGCUUCUAGAUAAGCUCGCGCAGGAUUAGGUUGUUGUUAGGUAAUGGCUAACCAAGCCCGCGAUCCUUAGCUGAUUUGAGAGGUAGAUCAGCCACAUUGGAUUGAGAACGGCCCAAACUCCUGUAGGAGGCAGCAGUGAGGAAUCUUGGACAAUGGGCGAAAGCUUGAUCAGCAAUACCACGUGAGUGACGACAGCGCAAAUGUUGUAAAGCUCUUUCGCUGAAGAGGAUAAUGACUGUAUUCAGAGAAGAAGUCCCGCUAAUUCCGUGCCAGCAGCCGCGGUAAAACGGGAGGGACUAGUGUUACUCGUCAUGAUUGGCGUAAAGGGUUUGUAGGCGGUUUUUUAAGUUGAUGGUGAAAGAACAAAUCAAUGUUUGUUAACACCUUCAAGACUAUUAAACUUAGAGUAUCAUUUGGGAUAGCGAACUUCCAAUGUAGCGAUAAAAUGCUUAGAGAUUGGAGGGAACACCGGAGGCGAAGGCGGCUAUCUGGAUGAUGACUGACGCUGAGGACGAAAGCAUGGGGAUCAAACAGGAUUAGAGACCCUGUAGUCCAUGCUGUAAACGAUGAAUGUUAAAUGUUGGAUAUAUUCUGAUAUUAAAGCUAACGCGUUAAACAUUCCGCCUGGUACUACGAUCGCAAGAUUGAAACUCAAAGAAAUUGACGGAGGCCCGUUACAAGCGGUGGAGCAUGUGUUUAAUUCGACACAACGCGAAAAACCUUACAGCUCUUGACAUCUUUAAGAAAAAAAUGUUAGAUUAAGGCAAAUUUGUCUUAAAUUCCAUCGAUCAUGAUUUUUUAGCGUGAAUCAUUUUUAUCAGUUCAUAGAGAUAUGUCUGAUAUUUAUUAUUAAUUCAAGUAUAAUUUCAUAUUUAAAUUAUUUGAAUAGCAUAUUCUUAAAGACAGGUGUUGCAUGGCUGUCGUCAGCUCGUGUUGUGAAAUGUAAGUUAACUCCAUGAAACGAGCGUAACCCUAUCUUCAAUUUAUGGACAUUAUGGUUUGGUCUAUUAUUUGAAGAAACUGCCUAUGAAAAUAGGAGGAAGGUGGGGAUGAAGUCAAGUCAUCACGCCUUAAUGAGCUGGGCUACACAUGUGCUACAAUGGCAAUAACAAAGAGUAGCAAUGGGGUAUAUUCCCGGAGCAAAUCUCAAAAACGUUGUCUCAGUUCGAAUUGUUCUCUGCAACUCGAGAACAUGAAGUUGAAUCGCUAGUAAUCGUAGAUCAGCACGCUACGGUGAAUGUGUGCCCGGGCCUUGUACACACCGCCCGUCACAUCAUGGAGUCUGUCGCAUUUGAAUUGGAUUACUAUUUCUUUUUUGCUUUAAGUUAAAUGGAUACGUUUAUCCAUUUAAUUUUUUAAAGUGAAAGGAUUUGUGUUCUCUAAUAAACUGUGGCUGAUGACUGGGGUGAAGUCGUAACAAGGUAGUCGUAGGGAACCUGUGGCUGGAUGAAAUUUUAA
rnacentral:rRNA from 1 species